rnacentral:rRNA from 1 species
CCCCAGCGCCACGAGUGGUUAUCACGAUUAUUGGGCCUAAAGCGUUCGUAGCCGGUCUGGUGCACCUCUUGUGAAAUUGUUUGGCUUAACCAAACAGCGUGCAGGAGACACGGCCAGACUCGAGACCGGGAGGCGCAUGAAGUAUGUCGUGGGGACUGGUAAAAUGGGAUAAUCCACGAUAGACUACCGAUGGCGAAGGCAUCAUGCGAGAACGGAUCUGACGGUGAGGAACGAAAGCCAGGGGAGCGAACCGG